GCAUAUAUAUAGGAGGAGCCAAGCUAUCGAACAAGUCACUAAAAGAAGCGAGGCCGAGCAUCUGACAUAACCGCACCUCAUAGUGCUGAAGACAGUCAUCAGGAAGCAGUUUCCUAGUUUAUUUCCCCAAUUGCCAUGAAAACCGUGUCGCUGAUAUUGAGUGUAGUUGUGGCUCUGACUUACUGAUGGAGUCAGCCAUACCUCACCCCUACGCCCUGUCUUACCCUCACUCUCAUGAGCAUGGCGGAGGUUUUGGCGGAGGUUUUGGCGGAGGUUUUGGCGGAGGUUUUGGCGGUGGUUUUGGCCAGGGUGGCUUUGGCCAAGAUGGUUUUGGUCAUGGAGGUCAUCAUGGUCACGGAGGUCAUGGUUUUGGUGGUCAUCACCGGAGAUCAUGGUUUUGGUGGUCAUCACGGGGGUUUUGGCCACUUUGGUUAGGCUGUUCGAGACCAUGAUUUCAAUGGUUGGUCUUGGAUAGUGUUCCUUGUGAUUCUCGACCUCCUUCAAAGUUCCAGGCAUAGAUGACAUGGUCUCUUUUUGUAAGACUACCACACAAACAAUACAAGCUUCCAUUUGCUUGUGUAUUGGAGGAAAGGUGACUAACGAACAGAAGCCUUCUCGAGUGGGUGUGACUUGCACCUGCCUAACAUUGGCCAGUAGGCUCGCUGCAGUGCUCUUUUUUAUAUUCAUGUAGUUUCUUGAACCACCACUGACCCUUCACCUUCCAGCACUGCCUCUUCUAUACUUGCAAAUGUAUAUACACAGAGAGGUAUAUGUCUCUUAGUGUAUAUACAUAGAGAGUUAUAUGUCUUUCAGUGUAUAUACACAGAGAGGUAUAUGACUCUUACUGUGCACAGAGUUAUAUGUCUCUCAGGGUAAAUACACAGAGAAGUAUAUAUCUCUCAGUGUAUAAACACAGUGUAUAUACGCUGAGAGCUCGUUAUGAGCCCUAUUUUAGGUAUUAAAGUAUCCUUGGCUGUUGGUAAACAGGUUAAAUGCAUCCUUAAUGAUCCUUCGUGUGGUCGAUUGGGUUUAAACCAAUUUAAUCAACCACUGACAAAGAUUCAAGACACAGCUAAUGAUCUCACAAUGGUUGUAAGUGUCCAACUAAUUGUUUAGUAAUUAGCAAGUGUAAAUUGUGCAUUUAAAAUAAUAUUUUGCGUCGGUAAUGUAUACCAUUUAUGUACAAUAUUUUAUAUAUGUAAUUGAUUAAAUAAAUGUUUAAACUGUA